rnacentral:rRNA from 1 species
UACGUAGGUGGCAAGCGUUGUCCGGAUUUACUGGGCGUAAAGAGCGCGCAGGCGGUCGUUCAAGUCGCGUGUGAAAGCCCCCGGCUCAACUGGGGAGGGUCACGCGAUACUGAUCGACUGGAAGGCAGGAGAGGGUAGUGGAAUUCCCGGUGUAGUGGUGAAAUGCGUAGAUAUCAGGAGGAACACCGAUGGCGAAGGCAGCUCGCUGGGACGGUACUGACGCUGAGGCGCGAAAGCGUGGGGAGCAAACAGG